AAUGAACGCUCGCGGUAGGCCUAACACAUGCAAGUUGAACGCAUACUUUUACAGUAUAAGUAGCAAACGGGUGAGUAACGCGUGAGAAAUCUACCUUACAAUCUGGGAUAAAAUCCCGGAUUCUUUCUAAACUAGAUGUUCCGACAAAUAGUAUAGAAUAAAAGAUUAAAUGUCGUUGUAAGAUGUGCUCGCGUAGGAUUAGGUAGUUGGUGAGGUAAAAGCUACACCAAGCCGAAGAUCCUUAGCUGGUCUGAGAGGAUGAUCAGCCACACUGGGACUGAGACACGGCCCAGACGCUUUCGAGCGGCAGCAGUGAGGAAUUUUGGACAAUGGGCGAAAGCCUGAUCCAGCCAUAUCGCAUGAGUGAAGAAGGCUCAAUUGGUUGUAAAGCUCUGAUUUGAUUGAAGAUUAUGACAUAAGAUCAAAGAAGAGUCCCGGCUAACUUCGUG
rnacentral:rRNA from 1 species